GUGGAGGUUAGGAGAACCAGUUGAGGCCCCGGGGCCAAGAGAUCUGAGAAGCAGAAAAAACCCUAAGGCGCCAGCCACAGUUCCUUUCCUUUCUUCCCCUCAGAGUCUUUGCCUGCCACACCACGGGUCUCUGAGAACCAAAUGAGGUUGCGUGCAGUUUGCUGCUGUAGUGCUGGCAGGGGAUGGAUGGUGCUGGCUAUCAAACCCAGGACUUCACACAUGCUAUUUAAGGUGACAUCAAUGGACAGAUUCAAGAAGCUUGCCCUACUAAGCAAAAUACGUAAAGAAAACCACACCAGAGUCUAUCCAAAGUGGGACAAGAUCAGCAAGAUGAAAAAAAAUCAAGAAAAAAAUACAAUACUGAAAAAAAUUACAAAAAAAAAAAACAACCAAAAAACCCAAAAAACCAACAAUAGAAAAGAG
ensembl:lincRNA 1700023C21Rik uncharacterized LOC110331126